rnacentral:rRNA from 1 species
ACUAUAUACUUGUUUCAAGGGUUUAGCCAUGCAUAUAUAAGUUCACACAUGAUUGUAUGAUCAUGAUUCGAAAACUGUAGUCGGCUCAUUAAAUAAGUUAUAACGCUCCUGUAUGUCACCUCCUAGAGGUGCUAUAGAUGGAUAUCCCAGUUAACUGCAGAACUAAUACACGAUAAAAUUAAAGGGGCUUCACAGUCUCUACGAAAGCAACAUGGGAGCAAAUGCUUUCAAUGGUAGAUGGGCAUCACUUGUGGUGUUCAUUUGUCAGGUAGACCGUUUAAUGGUCCAUUCAAACUGGAUAUUGACAGAGGGGAUUCGUUUGUAGCACUUCAAAGUCUUGACAUACGGCCGUAGAGAGCGGUAUCUUCACAAUUAGUUCUAGUUUCUCGAGUAUGGCUCGGGAAAGACUAUUAUUGUUACGAGUAAUCAUCGUUAGAUUUCGGAGAGAAAGCCUGAGAAACGGCUAUCACAUCUAAGGAAGGCAGCAGGCGCGAAAAUUACCCAAUUAUGACCCGUAGAGGUAGCGACAAGAUAUAACGACCUUCCUGACAUACGUCAGGAAGGGUAAACCCUAAGGGUUUUUGCAAUGGAUGUAAAUUAAAACUCUAUAUGAGUAACAACUAGAGGACAA